UACGUAGGGGGCAAGCGUUGUCCGGAAUCAUUGGGCGUAAAGAGCGCGUAGGCGGUCCGGUAAGUCGGUUGUGAAAACUGGGGGCUCAACCCUCAGAGGCCGACCGAUACUGCCGGGCUAGAGUCCGGAAGAGGCGAGUGGAAUUCCUGGUGUAGCGGUGAAAUGCGCAGAUAUCAGGAGGAACACCAAUGGCGAAGGCAGCUCGCUGGGACGGUACUGACGCUGAGGCACGAAGGCCAGGGGAGCAAACGGG
rnacentral:rRNA from 1 species